UACGGGGGGGGCAAGCGUUGUUCGGAAUUACUGGGCGUAAAGGGCUCGUAGGUGGCCAACUAAGUCAGACGUGAAAUCCCUCGGCUUAACCGGGGAACUGCGUCUGAUACUGGAUGGCUUGAGUGUGGGAGAGGGAUGCGGAAUUCCAGGUGUAGCGGUGAAAUGCGUAGAUAUCUGGAGGAACACCGGUGGCGAAGGCAAUCCCCUGGGCCUGCACUGACGCUCAUGCACGAAAGCGUGGGGAGCAAACAGG
rnacentral:rRNA from 1 species